rnacentral:rRNA from 1 species
CAGGCCUAACACAUGCAAGUCGAACGAACCCUUCGGGGUUAGUGGCGCACGGGUGCGUAACGCGUGGGAACCUGCCUUUAGGUUCGGAAUAACUCAGAGAAAUUUGAGCUAAUACCGGAUAAUGUCUUCGGACCAAAGAUUUAUCGCCUUUAGAUGGGCCCGCGUUAGAUUAGAUAGUUGGUGGGGUAAUGGCCUACCAAGUCGACGAUCUAUAGCUGGUCUGAGAGGAUGAUCAGCCACACUGGGACUGAGACACGGCCCAGACUCCUACGGGAGGCAGCAGUGGGGAAUAUUGGACAAUGGGCGAAAGCCUGAUCCAGCAAUGCCGCGUGAGUGAUGAAGGCCUUAGGGUUGUAAAGCUCUUUUACUAGGGAUGAUAAUGACAGUACCUAGAGAAUAAGCUCCGGCUAACUCCGUGCCAGCAGCCGCGGUAAUACGGAGGGAGCUAGCGUUGUUCGGAAUUACUGGGCGUAAAGCGCGCGUAGGCGGCUUUUCAAGUCAGGGGUGAAAUCCCGGGGCUCAACCCCGGAACUGCCCUUGAAACUGGAUGGCUAGAAUACUGGAGAGGUGAGUGGAAUUCCGAGUGUAGAGGUGAAAUUCGUAGAUAUUCGGAAGAACACCAGUGGCGAAGGCGACUCACUGGACAGUU